AAUCAGUGGCUGCAGCUGCAGCCGCAUCAUCAGUUGCACGGGCUCCAUCACUUCGGAGACUGAACACCCAUAAAGGAGCUGGAGGCCUUACCAAGCACGUGCAGGUCCCGAGAAAAACUGCUGAGGAUGAUCCAAGUUCUGCUAGGUCAAUGGGCAGUCCAGGUUUGCCAACCUCUGGGGCUUAGGCUUGAAGUUUUGGCAAGGCUAACAUCAGAAAACGCUUCCACGGGACGGGGGAGUCAAAAUUGAAGUAUUAUGAAGAUUAUCCCAUGAUAUUGAACGGCUUUAUCUUGAACAAUCUUUGUGCCAAAGUAAUUAUUAUAUCCCGUGGAGCGGAGAGAUGCAGUCCUGAAGUAAUUAAUGCCUACUAUAUGUCCAGAUGUUCAGUUGUCCGAUGCAAUUUUGUUUGGCUGGCGCAUGUUCACCGUCGCUUUAUAAUUAGAUUAUUUUGUUUCCGAGAAGAGACGAAAACAAUGAGUUUCAUCAGUCAAGAUCGAAGAUAGUUUUU